GAUGAACGCUGGCGGCGUGCCUAAUACAUGCAAGUCGAGCGAACGGACGAGAAGCUUGCUUUUCUGAUGUUAGCGGCGGACGGGUGAGUAACACGUGGAUAACCUACCUAUAAGACUGGGAUAACUUCGGGAAACCGGAGCUAAUACCGGAUAAUAUUUUGAACCGCAUGGUUCAAAAGUGAAAGACGGUCUUGCUGUCACUUAUAGAUGGAUCCGCGCUGCAUUAGCUAGUUGGUAAGGUAACGGCAUACCAAGGCAACGAUGCAUAGCCGACCUGAAAGGGAGGUGGGCCACACUGGAACUGAGCCACGGACCAGACUCAAACGGGAGGCAGCAGUAGGGAAUGUUCCGCAAUGGGCGAAAGCCUGACGGAGUAAAGCCGGGUGAGUGAAGAAGGUCGUCGGAUCGUAAAACUCUGUUAUUAGGGAAGAAAAAAUAUGUAAGAAACUGUGCACAUCUUGACGGUACCUAAUCAGAAAGCCACGGCUAACUACGUG
rnacentral:rRNA from 1 species